GAUUGGUGAUGGGGAGUAGGAUAAACAAAAAUCAAAGAAACAAACUAAAAUUUGGCUCGUCAUUGCGUGCAUAGUGCAGGAGUGAUUUGUAAAAUUAUCUUAUUAAGCUAAAAUAGUACGGUUAGUGCUGAGUAGUACGGAUUAACAUUUACUGGAGGACGUUGUACAUUUAAAAACCGUAAGUGAAAGACAUUUGCUAAAAUACUUAUUACUAAAGUUGUAUUUGAACUCACAUAGGUAACAGCAACAGAAUCUAACCUACAAAAACAGUUCCGAUUGAUACAGUUAGUUCGUGAAACAAGAUAAAACCAUUUGAAUUGGUUUCGAGCUGAUAGCAAAAAAGCAGCGAUUUAAUUUCUUGAUCCCGGUACACCGACGUUACUGUCCGAUAAAAGAAAACUUAAUCUUCAAGCUGCUAUACAAGAAAGGCUGCUCUGAGGAUUCGUUUUAAUUAUCCGA